rnacentral:tRNA from 1 species
GCGUCAGUGGUACAGCGGUAGAAUGUUCGCCCACCACGCAUGUGGUCCAGGGUUCGAUCCCCUGCUGAUGCA